UACGAGGGGGGCGAGCGUUGUUCGGAAUUAUUGGGCGUAAAGGGUGCGUAGGCGGUUUGGUAAGUCUCGUGUGAAAUCUCCGGGCUCAACUCGGAGCCUGCACGAGAAACUGCCGGGCUUGAGUGUGGGAGAGGUGAGUGGAAUUCCUGGUGUAGCGGUGAAAUGCGUAGAUAUCGGAAGGAACACCUGUGGCGAAAGCGGCUCACUGGACCAUUACUGACACUGAGGCACGAAAGCUAGGGGAGCAAACAGG
rnacentral:rRNA from 1 species